GUAGUCCACGCCGUAAACGAUGGGCACUAGGUCCUUGGGGGAGCGACCCCUUGAGGGCCGUCGCAAACGCAUUAAGUGCCCCGCCUGGGGAGUACGACCGCAAGGUUGAAACUCAAAGGAAUUGACGGGGGCCCGCACAAGCGGUGGAGCAUGUGGUUUAAUUCGACGCAACGCGAAGAACCUUACCUGGGCUUGACAUGGCCGGGAAUUUCCGGGGAAACCUGGAAAGCUCUUCGGAGCUCGGUCACAGGUGCUGCAUGGCUGUCGUCAGCUCGUGUCGUGAGAUGUUGGGUUAAGUCCCGCAACGAGCGCAACCCUUGUCACUAGUUACCAGCGCGUAAUGGCGGGAACUCUAGUGAGACUGCCGGUGCCAAACCGGA
rnacentral:rRNA from 1 species